rnacentral:rRNA from 1 species
CACGUAGGGUGCGAGCGUUGUCCGGAAUUAUUGGGCGUAAAGAGCUCGUAGGCGGUGUGUCGCGUCGGCCGUGAAAACCUGCAGCUUAACUGUGGGCUUGCGGUCGAUACGGGCAUCACUGGAGUUCGGCAGGGGAGACUGGAAUUCCUGGUGUAGCGGUGAAAUGCGCAGAUAUCAAGAGGAACACCUGCGGCGAAGGCGGGUUGCUGGGCCGACAC